UACGUAGGGUGCGAGCGUUGUCCGGAAUUAUUGGGCGUAAAGGGCUCGUAGGCGGUUUGUCGCGUCGGGAGUGAAAACGCCGUGCUUAACACGGCGCUUGCUUUCGAUACGGGCAGACUAGAGGUAUGCAGGGGGAGAACGGAAUUCCUGGUGUAGCGGUGAAAAUGCGCAGAUAUCAGGAGGAACACCGGUGGCGAAGGCGGUUCUCUGGGCAUUACCUGACGCUGAGGCGCGAAAGCUAGGGGGAGCAAACAGG
rnacentral:rRNA from 1 species